rnacentral:rRNA from 1 species
AAUUGGAGGGCAAGUCUGGUGCCAGCAGCCGCGGUAAUUCCAGCUCCAAUAGCGUAUAUUAAAGUUGUUGCAGUUAAAAAGCUCGUAGUUGAACUUCGGGGUUCACCCAUUGGUCAGGCUUAAUUGUCUGUACUGGUGAGAUGAAUCUCUACCUUCUGAGGAACUUUCAUGCCAUUUAUUUGGUGUGAUKGGAAAUCAGGACUGUUACUUUGAAAAAAUUAGAGUGUUUAAAGCAGGCUAACGUCUGAAUACAUUAGCAUGGAAUAAUGAAAUAGGACGGAYUGAUUCUAUUUCGUUGGUUUCUAGGAUCACCGUAAUGAUUAAUAGGGAUAGUUGGGGGCAUUAGUAUUCAAUUGUCAGAGGUGAAAUUCUUGGAUUUAUUGAAGACUAACUACUGCGAAAGCAUUUGCCAAGGAUGUUUUCAUUAAUCAAGAACGAAAGUUAGGGGAUCGAAGACGAUCAGAUACCGUCGUAGUCUUAACCAUAAACUAUGCCGACUAGGGAUCGGACGAWGUUAANUUUUNUAAUGACKCGUUCGGCACCUUACGGGAAACCAAAGUGU